UACGGAGGGUGCAAGCGUUAUCCGGAUUCACUGGGUUUAAAGGGUGCGUAGGUGGGCAGGUAAGUCAGUGGUGAAAUCUCCGGGCUUAACCCGGAAACUGCCAUUGAUACUAUCAGUCUUGAAUACCGUGGAGGUAAGCGGAAUAUGUCAUGUAGCGGUGAAAUGCUUAGAUAUGACAUAGAACACCAAUUGCGAAGGCAGCUUACUAGCCGAAUAUUGACACUGAGGCACGAAGGCGUGGGGAUCAAACAGG
rnacentral:rRNA from 1 species